rnacentral:rRNA from 1 species
UACGAAGGGGGCUAGCGUUGCUCGGAAUCACUGGGCGUAAAGGGUGCGUAGGUGGCGGGGUAAGUCAGGUGUGAAAUUUCGGAGCUUAACUCCGAAACUGCAUUUGAUACUGCCUUGCUUGAGGACUGGAGAGGAGACUGGAAUUUACGGUGUAGCAGUGAAAUGCGUAGAUAUCGUAAGGAAGACCAGUGGCGAAGGCGGGUCUCUGGACAGUUCCUGACACUGAGGCACGAAGGCUAGGGGAGCAAACGGG